rnacentral:rRNA from 1 species
UACGUAGGGUGCGAGCGUUAAUCGGAAUUACUGGGCGUAAAGCGCGUGUAGGCGGGUCGGAAAGUCGGGCGUGAAAUCCCUAGGCUCAACCUAGGAACUGCACUCGAAACUCCCGGUCUUGAGUGGGGGAGAGGGAAGUGGAAUUCCUGGUGUAGAGGUGAAAUUCGUAGAUAUCGGGAGGAACACCAGUGGCGAAGGCGACUCCCUGGCCCAUUCUUGACGCUGAGGCGCGAAAGCUAGGGGAGCGAACGGG